rnacentral:sRNA from 1 species
GACUAAAUUUGUCCUUCAGAUGUCCAGGGACACUUGGAAGAGAUAAACACCAUUAGUCACACUGCUGUGUUCGGUCCAUUUCCAUAUGUCUUCUCUGAUGAUAGAAUCAAAAGAUAAAGGGUUUUCUUAGUACUGGACAUAUGUCAUACCAAAACAGUUUGAAUAUUGGUCUACAUUUUGACAGCGACACGAGUACAAUGAAAGACAUUUUUAUUGAUGAUAAAAAAACGAACAACUUUUGUUGAGAAGAAUGGUACUGUACAGCUCCAUCACUGAAGGUUCAUGCAAAUGAGUAGAUCAUGCACUGCAGAGG